rnacentral:tRNA from 1 species
GCGGGUGUAGUUUAGUGGUAAAACUACAGCCUUCCAAGCUGUUGUCGCGAGUUCGAUUUUCGUCACCCGCU